UACGUAGGGUGCGAGCGUUGUCCGGAAUUAUUGGGCGUAAAGGGCUCGUAGGCGGUCUGUUGCGUCAGGAGUGAAAACUCGGGGCUUAACCCCGAGCCUGCUUCUGAUACGGGCAGACUAGAGGUAUGCAGGGGGAGAACGGAAUUCCUGGUGUAGCGGUGAAAUGCGCAGAUAUCAGGAGGAACACCAGCGGCGAAGGCGGUGCUCUGGGCCGGAACUGACGCUGAGGAGCGAAAGCGUGGGUAGCAAACAGG
rnacentral:rRNA from 1 species